rnacentral:rRNA from 1 species
CAUGGCUCAGGAUGAACGCUAGCGAUAGGCCUAACACAUGCAAGUCGAGGGGCAGCACAUGAAGUAGCAAUACGGAUGGUGGCGACCGGCGCACGGGUGAGUAACGCGUAUGCAACCUGCCUACAACAAGGGAAUAACCCGUUGAAAGACGGACUAAUACCCUAUAAUACAGGGGUCCCGCAUGGGAAUAUUUGUUAAAGAUUAAU